GCCGCAUUAGCACAAUGGUAGUGCGUCGCUUUCCUAUGAUGUAAUUGGAAUUGGGAGGCGAAGGUUGCGGGUUCGAGUCCCGUGUGUGGUU